rnacentral:misc_RNA from 1 species
GGGUAAACCUCCAUAGUUUGAGGUGAGGUAGACGAAGAGUAGUGUGAGUAGAGCAUCGAAUGAAUACGUGCAAGUGUAUAGAUAAACAGAUCAUGGAUCUAUCGACCAACAAUGACUUCAUCAACCUUCACGACGACCAACAUCACAUCACCGCCGGUGUUAACCAUCCUGUUCGCCCAAUUGAAUCCUUCCCCAAUUAUAGCAUUCAUUGGGCUCCUGAUACCAAAACCAACACUAAUUAUAGUUCUCCCGACUCAAUAGAACCAGCCAAACUCAUCGUGGAGAAAGAUCUGAGCACUAUUGAUGCAUCAUUGUUAUCUGAAAUUGAUCAUACAGUGAAGAAGUAUGCUGAUAAUCUUCUACAUGCAAUAGAGAGUGUGAGCGCUCGACUAUCACAAUUAGAAACUAGAAGUCGCCAGAUUGAAGAUUUUGUUGUGAAACUCAAGUUGUCUGUUGAUAAUAACCAUGGGAACACUGAUGGAAAACUAAGACUGGUGGAAAAUAUUCUGAGAGAGGUGCAAGAUGGAGUACAAGUCAUAAAGAAUAAACAGGAUAUAAUGGAGACUCAACUGCAGCUCGCAAAAUUGCAAGUUCCAAAGGAAAUAGACAGUAGUAUUGUUGACUCAGCGCAUCAUAGGGCAUCUGCUCCUCUUCAAUCUCACCAACAAUUUCCUCCUGUUGUGCUUGCUCAACCGCCUUCCCCUCUUCCUUCACCAAAUGCUCCUCCACCCCCUCUGCAACAGAAAAUUCCAUCUCAAGUUGAGCUUCAGGACCAGUUUCCUCAGAAUCUCAUUCCUUCUGGCACUCAACGAGAAACUUACUUCCCAUUAACUGGUCAAGCACCAGAAAACUCUAGUCAGCAGAACCAACAGUCUGCACCACAUCAGCGGCUACAGACUUCUAUUCCACCACCCCCACAUCAACAGUAUCUGCCUUUCCCUUCAUCAUUGUACACUCAGCCACCUGUACCUUCUCAAGCUCAUUCACCUCUUCCAUCUGUUAAUCCCUCACAAUCUCAACCUCCAUUGAUCCAUCAUCCUGAGGAAAGACAUUUUAUAGCAUCCCAGACUUAUCCACAAGCAAACACUAGUCAAUUUCCCUCUCAUCCAUCAAGUGGAGCCCCUGUGUCACAUCAUUUUUAUGCAGCUCCUGCUAAUCUGUUUGAGCCGCCAUCUAGCAGACAGGGUUCCGGAUUUUCCAGCGCAUAUGGCCCAUCAACUGGACCUGGUGAAUCUUACCCUUAUAGUGGGUCCACAGUUCAGUAUGGCAGUGGUUCCCCAUUCAAAUCACAACAACUUGCUUCACCCUUGAUGGGCCAGAGUGGUGGAAAUGGUUACCCACAGCUUCCCACAACAAGAAUAUUACCUCAAGCACUACCUACUGCUUUUGCAGUUAGUAGUGGGUCUAGUUCUCCUCGUACUGGAAAUAGAGUUCCUAUUGAUGAUGUAGUUGAUAAAGUGACAAAUAUGGGA